rnacentral:rRNA from 1 species
UACGGGGGGGGCAAGCGUUGUUCGGAAUUACUGGGCGUAAAGGGCUCGUAGGUGGCCAACUAAGUCAGACGUGAAAUCCCUCGGCUUAACCGGGGAACUGCGUCUGAUACUGGAUGGCUUGAGAUCGGGAGAGGGAUGCGGAAUUCCAGGUGUAGCGGUGAAAUGCGUAGAUAUCUGGAGGAACACCGGUGGCGAAGGCGGCAUCCUGGACCGGCAUUGACGCUGAGGCGCGAAAGCCAGGGGAGCAAACGGG